AAAGUCUUAAGUUAAGCAAAAAACUAUUAACCUUCAAAGUUGGAAAUGAAAAUUUUUAGACUUUG
rnacentral:tRNA from 1 species